rnacentral:rRNA from 1 species
UAGGGAAUCUUCCGCAAUGGGCGAAAGCUUGACGGAGCAACGCCGCGUGAGUGAUGAAGGUCUUCGGAUCGUAAAACUCUGUUAUUAGGGAAGAACAAAUGUGUAAGUAACUAUGCACGUCUUGACGGUACCUAAUCAGAAAGCCACGGCUAACUACGUGCCAGCAGCCGCGGUAAUACGUAGGUGGCAAGCGUUAUCCGGAAUUAUUGGGCGUAAAGCGCGCGUAGGCGGUUUUUUAAGUCUGAUGUGAAAGCCCACGGCUCAACCGUGGAGGGUCAUUGGAAACUGGAAAACUUGAGUGCAGAAGAGGAAAGUGGAAUUCCAUGUGUAGCGGUGAAAUGCGCAGAUAUAUGGAGGAACACCAGUGGCGAAGGCGACUUUCUGGUCUGUAACUGACGCUGAUGUGCGAAAGCGUGGGGAUCAAACAGG